GCACUCAACUCCAUACGUAAAUUAAGAGCGAGCAUAACAUACAGGAACACGCCUCUGGAUGGGGGUUCUACAUGAAGGGCAAUCCUUCAUUCCUUGUUUCUCAUGGAGCUCAUUACAUGUUGUGCAAACCACUUGAUGGGCACAUGGGAGGAAAACCACUGACAUCUCUUCUGAAAGGCACAUCACACAUUCUCUCUCCCGUUUCACACUUCCUAUGACAGAGUAUUCAUGAAAAUCUGCUGCUUCCAUUACUGAGUAAUAAGGAGUUGGGAACUCCUUUUGUGCAGUGCUAUUCUUAGCAUCUGUGAGUCUGCUAGCAUAGCUUUCACUGAUACCCCUUCGAAGGGCUGCAAUUUUUGAUGCGUCCGUCUUCAAUGUCAAUUGGUAGAUCUCUUUUUCAAGCCCCUGAAUAUCAUCCUUGUAUUUCUGCAAAUUAGUUUCAGCUUUCAAUUUCAUCACAUCCUCUUUAGAUUUAGCUGAAGUCUCAAUUUGUUCUCUUUCUUUUCUUAUUGAACUAGCCUGCAAAACUAGUUCUUCCUUCAACUUCUCUUCUUGUUGCCAUCUAGCCUCAUGUUGU
rnacentral:misc_RNA from 1 species